UCGAACGGUAACAGGUCUUCGGAUGCUGACGAGUGGCGAACGGGUGAGUAAUACAUCGGAACGUGCCCGAGAGUGGGGGAUAACGAAGCGAAAGCUUUGCUAAUACCGCAUACGAUCUCAGGAUGAAAGCAGGGGACCGCAAGGCCUUGCGCUCACGGAGCGGCCGAUGGCAGAUUAGGUAGUUGGUGGGAUAAAAGCUUACCAAGCCGACGAUCUGUAGCUGGUCUGAGAGGACGACCAGCCACACUGGGACUGAGACACGGCCCAGACUCCUACGGGAGGCAGCAGUGGGGAAUUUUGGACAAUGGGCGCAAGCCUGAUCCAGCCAUGCCGCGUGCAGGAUGAAGGCCUUCGGGUUGUAAACUGCUUUUGUACGGAACGAAAAGACUCUGGUUAAUACCUGGGGUCCAUGACGGUACCGUAAGAAUAAGCACCGGCUAACUACGUGCCAGCAGCCGCGGUAAUACGUAGGGUGCGAGCGUUAAUCGGAAUUACUGGGCGUAAAGCGUGCGCAGGCGGUUAUGUAAGACAGAUGUGAAAUCCCCGGGCUCAACCUGGGAACUGCAUUUGUGACUGCAUAGCUAGAGUACGGCAGAGGGGGAUGGAAUUCCGCGUGUAGCAGUGAAAUGCGUAGAUAUGCGGAGGAACACCGAUGGCGAAGGCAAUCCCCUGGGCCUGU
rnacentral:rRNA from 1 species